GGAUCAGCUCCUUCCUUUAGCCACAGCUCUUUCUUUGUUUGGACCUUAACAUGAUUUUAUUGUAAGUACACUUUUAUUUGCCUUUUGGUUCCCUUGUGUUGCUUCCCCUGAGCCAGGGUUGUAACACUUACACAAAUUCUAAUUUUUGCAAUUUAUAGUUAAAAUAAAAUCUGAGUUCUAACUAGUAAAGUUUGUAAAAGUAGCACCAAAAACAAAAGUCAUGCUUGCGAGUUCAUAGACGCCACACAAGAUUACUUGGCAGCUGCUGAGAUUCCAAAACUACCAACUGAGCAUGUGCAGAACUGUGAUUCCUCACUACAAUCUUAAAUAUUGAACUCUGAAAGUGUGUUGACUUUUUACUGUUGAAGUUUGAGUAAAAAACACACAAUUAAGAACAAAGUAGCUGGGUGAGGUCACCUUUCAAAUGAAAUCCAGGUCCUCUGUGUCUGCAGCCAGGUACUCCUGAAAUAUUAACCGUGUGUUCGUUAAAUUUCAAUAAUAACACAUGGCUGGAAAAUCCAAGUCUCCUGAAACAGUAUUAAAAGGUUUUCAGCUGAAUCUGGUUGCCACUGUGAGAAACAACCAAACAGACCACAAUGAAGACACUGAUGGCGGACGUAAAGUGCAGUAAUAACUACAAAAAUCUACUUAUCUACUAACUCCAUCGAUAUUUAACAAGAAAAUCAUGUCUCCCCUCUGCUGUUCUCACAUAUUGUAGUCAAGUAAGAGCGAUCAAGGCCACUCUGACAGUGAGUUUCACUAACUUAUCAUCUCCCAUUGUUGAGUGGAUGCGGCAAAAAUGUGUUUGAAAUUGAUAAAACAAUAAUUGAAGUCGUAAAAAUAUGUUAUAAAGAGUCAGAAACUAGUGCACAGAGAACAAUCACGAAUUCUUCAACACUGUCUGGAGUGCACAGUAAAAACAAAGGUGGUAUUGGAGGGUUAUUGCUAUUACGAUGGGUUGCAUCAUGGCGUAUUGAUUUUUGACUCCUGACGCUCCAUACUUAAACCAAGAAGAGAACAAUACCAGCAGGUUUUCCUCUGAAGUGCAUCUGAAGAAAUGUUGAACAUUUUUAGAUUCACUCAUCAAAAUGAAAUAAAUGGACACACCUUUCAUUACCAGCCUAAUCUGGACAGUAGGAUUCACUGCAGGACUAUUAUAUGAGACUGCAUUACAAUCUGGACGCGGUAAUGACCGUCACUUGAUAGUCCAUUGAAUUUUCUUAGUGGAAAUCCAAUUUCAAAUUUCCUCCCUCUUAAUAGGGCCAUUUUCUUUUCUGCUUCCUAUCCCUGGAUGAUCAAUACACCCGCGUUUAUCACCCAAUAUGGAAAUGCUUUCUGCAAAGAAAUGUUGUUUUCAUGUAAGCUUUCCUUAAUUGUUCUUGAAAAGCAUGCACUGAAACGUCCCCGCCCUUUGGGAAAAUAUCGCCUCCCUAAACAGAAGUGACACUCCGGCAUAUGCUGAGGUCUUCACUGCGGUGCAAGCUCCUCAUUAAGUUAGCUGGCAUGGAGCUCAGAGAAAUAAUCUUUGCUUAUAGCACAAACGCCGCCCCGGAAUGACUCCUACAAGCGCGAGAGUGCGGGAUGCAAAUUUGCAUUUCGCUUACAACUUUGAAAAAUAUUUGGAGUACAGCAUGAGUCAUGACUGAUACGCUUUUGGGUCCACUGUAAGCAAAAAAAAAAAAGGAGGGAAAAGGCAGAGAAGAAAGAGAAGGAACAUGCCAGAUGUGCACGAAGCACUGGGACCCAUUUUAGAUUGGAUUCUUCUUUUUUUCUUUUCCAGCCAGUCACAUUUACUUUGUGCCUUUGUGCCUUAAGUCUAAUUGAAGCUCAAAAAGGAGAGGGAGAGAUUGAAUUGCAGAUUGAAUUGCAUCCCAAGGUCAUUGGAGGGAUACACAACCGCAGUAGGAGUGCCGCCUAUGGGCCCUGAAGGUUCUUACUCGCCUCUCCGAAGCAAUUAUAAAUCCACUGAUGUAGUUUUGAUUAUUUCCUGCAGUGUUUGGCUGUUUUAUUGACCAUGUGUUAUUAGACGCUGAGCUGGCAUAACAUUUGUCUGAGGUGAAUAGUCACACUGUGACUUUCUGUGAGGGAUUCUGUUUCAAAUAUCCACCCACUAUCCAUGUAUCGUCCUACCAUGACGGGGUUAAAACCAGUGUUGUUCAAGAUCACUCUAGAGGGCACCGACUCAUAGUUCAGUUCACAUGGAUUAAAGGAUCUAUACCCAUUUUUUGGGUCAUAUGGAUUCGAUUGUUUGUUUUUUUUUUCAAGGGAUUAUAAUUAUGGGUUAUUUUUCUGAGAGUAACCCAAUAAUUGGGUCAGAACGUUGGGUCAGGCAUGUCCAAACUAUUCCACAAAGGGCCGGUGUGGCUGCAGGUUUUUCUUCCAACCAAUCAAGAGCACACGGUCUGACCAAUCAGCUGUCUGAAGACUGAGAUCAGCUGAUGAAAUGAAUCAAGUCUGGUGUGCUGCUGCUUGGUUGGAAGAAAAACCUGCAGCCACACACCGGCCCUUUGUGGAAUAGUUUGGACAUGCCUGCAAGUCUACGUCAAUCGUUGGGACGUUUGGAACGGGGGGUUGGGGUUUGAAUUCCGUAUGAGACACAUCUGUAAGGAGCGAGCUACAUCUACCAGUGUGGGUCCUUAGGCAAGACCCUUAGCGCUAUGGCCAACGUCAUAAACAUGAGUGUGUUACCACUGAAAGGCAAACCAGCUCAGAUGUCACCGGGGUUAACAAGGUAACAAGGUCUGCAAAGCAAAGCAAAGCUCCCAAAAAAGCUCCCUAAAUGCAUAAAUCAAUUUCACCCAACAUCAUGAGUCAAAUUAGCUCAAAGAUUGGGUUAACUUGACCCUUGAAAAGAGUUACUGAGUCAACCCAAAGUUUGGGUUAAUUUGAAUAACCCAACAUUCUGGGUCAAAAUACCCCAAUAAGUAGUCAGUCCCUUUUCAACCCUGAUGUUGGCAUUUUUAGAGUGCAGGACUUCAUCCAGCUGAUUCCCCUUCCCCUUGGAGCUCCUCAAAAACAACGCCCCCGCUCACAUGCACGAACGCUGCCAUCUGCAUCAGAACAUAAAGAUCAUUUUUACCAGAAUAACAAAAAGUGUAUCUAAAUCAGAUUACCAACCCUAACUUUUAAAGUGAACUAGAGCUGAUUCUCAUUUGUGUUUUCUGAGGAAUGGUGAUCCACAUGCUUGAGCUACGAGGGGCUGCAAAGACCCAGCUGCAGGCCCUCAUUAGCCGGAGCCAUCUUUAGCAGGUCUUGGCUGUCAUGGCUAUCUCCCUCACGGCUGUCUUCAGACCUUUGGGGUCUAAGCUGACCUGCGAAGAGGAAUAGCUCAUUGAUUUGCGGGAAAACCACAGCAGCCGACUUAGACUGGGGGGCAGGUUGCACGCCAUCCUUUGAGAAGCGGCUCAUCCAUCAGGUCCGGAUUCCUGGCUUUCUUUAGCUGGUGAGAAACGACCAGCUGAUCCUUCCUGGGCGCUGCUGGUUUAACUAAGAUGGUUUAGUGCUCCUGGAGAGAAGAAUGAAAGUCAAUGAUUCCUUUCCACAGAUUGAAUUUUGGUUUAACUAAUCAGAAUCGAGUAGUUGAAGUCGUUGAACUCCUAAACCAUCAAACAAUCUCAGCGUUUUAUUUUAAACCAAUCUUGCUUUAAGCAUCCGUGCUUUUGUUCCAACAAACCAAACGUUUAUUCACGACACUAUGAUUAAGUCCUGCUUAAAAAGGACUGAAAAACAAACACAAUAAGUGUUUACAGCAGCUGGAGUGUCUGUAAAUUCCAUAUAAAUGCAUAUAUGACGGACUCGUCAUUCCCUCCUCUGAUUGACAGUUUGCAGUCUCUCCAACAUGGCGACGUUUCUUUGCAUUCCGGUUGUAAACUAAGGGGGCGGAGAUGGAGCGAUAUCUUUUCAAGUGGCUCUUGAAAAGCAAAGAAAUAUCCCCUUGAGGAUGCCAGUUGUAAACAAAUGAACAGUUUGAAUGCGCAUUUGCAUUGUCAGGAUUUGCAACUGCAAAAAAAGACACUUGUUUGAGAUGUUUUUUCACAACUGGACUGCAGAUUAUUCCCAUGGACAAACACAAUCAUUCAGCAAUCAUGUCGCUCUAUUCUGCAGGUUUUAUACGCUUUCAAAAAUGUUCGAAGGCCAGUAAUGAAGUGACACUGUAUUUAUGCAAAACUUUAAAAAACAGCCGGUUAAAAAGAGCUUUAAAAAACCAAGCUCGCACUGUGGAUGAUGGUGACUCAUACGAACGAAAAUUAACACAGUUUUUGUUCUCUCAAUUAAACGAUCAGACCUUCUGAGUGACCUGUUUUUGUAUUUCGUCAGUCUUUUUCUGGCUGGUUUUUUGCAGAGGGCCACUUUCAAUCUGCCAGACUCUUUUCUGUCCUAACAAUGUGAGGCAAAUUAGGCCUUCAUUAAAAAAAUUACCAGCGUUGUCACACUCAGCAAAAACAGAAGUACAGGUGUCCAAGGCCUGCUCUCGAUCAUGUUUUUGUGCGGCAUGAACACUGAUUUGUUUGAUUUGCAACCCUGAACAUUGCACCCGUUUAAUUUUGCACCACUUGUGUUUGUAGUUGAUAGGAUGAGGCGGCUGCAGCUCUCACCGACUCAGACAUCUAGUAAUUAUAGCUGCGCUGCUUUGAGGAAGAAGAUGCAUUUCAGAUGUGAGUUUGGGAAACAUUUAUGGCAGCUUUGAUUUAUUUAUGGAGCUGGAAUCAAACAAAUUACAUCUUCAAGUUAUGAAGGCGGACAACAGACACUGACAGAUUUGGGGUUCAGAGCAAACAAGCUUCGUCUUUAGACUCCAGAUGAGCUAAAUCAGUCAGGAUCCUCCACCUCCCUCUUUAAGGCUUCUUUUAAUUAUUCCUUAACAGCUUGUCAAGGUCUCCCAAAGCAGAGUCCAGCUCCUCCGUGACAGAAAACCGCUGUCCAGAAUUCAGUGAAAAUCUAUAAUGUGGCCCGCGCUCUCACCUUUCAACCUCGUAAUCGUCUGAGAAAUAAGUACUACACCCAUAAGAAUGAAGGGGUCAUUUGUUCCUGACCUGUAAUACAACUCACAGGAACACUCUGUGAAAUAGCUGCACAACUUCCACUGACAACCAUGUCCUCAUACAGGAGCCUUUGUACCUGGUGAAAGGUGGAUUAUAUCAGAAACGGCAGUGACUGCUGGUUUAAUGUUUGAAAUUUGCCUUUUAUUUAAAACUAUAACGAACAAUAAUACCUCUGUGUCAAAGCUCUGCAUUUGUUCGAGAACAUAUUCAGUGAGAUAUUUCACAGUUUUGAUCGACUCCAGAUCAUCAAAGCUGAAUGUGAAUAAUUAUCCAGCAGCUGUCGUUACAGAGCAGUUCAGCCCUUUUCUUUAUGAACACAAACACGGCGUUUGUGGUUUUUCGGCUUUUAUUUGACGUCCAAGAAAACAGAUAAAGCAAAAGUGUCCAGUGGAAGACUUUUAUGUCUUGAUUUCAUUCCUCUUUUUUUCUGUCUUUAAUGCACUUUUCUUACCCUCUAGAGGUCAGUACAGCCACAUUGCAUGGUCGGUGAAGAGCGUUAAACAAUACUUUACAAAAUGAAACUAUCAGUUGAACUUUGACACCAUCUAUUAACUUACUGAUUGAAUUGAAAAAAGAAAAUGUUGAGACUAAAAAGGAGAAACUCAAAUUUGAUGACUUUUUAAAGACUAAAGUCUUGUGCGUUGUUACCUUUUGUUAUCCUAAUGUUUCAUGUCCUGUGUUUUCUGUUUUACUUUAAUACUCACCUCUGUGUCUUGUUUCAGAUCCUCCACUUCCUGUCCGCCUGUGUUCUGGGAUUACCCGCCCCUCCUUGCUGUGUUGCUCCUGCAGAUGAUUGUCUCCACUCGCCUCUGUGUCCCCUUUCUUCUGCACCUGUUUGCCUCUGUCCAGCAUGAGUUUCAUUCCAGAGUUAGUAUUCCUCGUACGACCAUUUUCUUCAGGUUUGGACCUGCUUCUGCUUUUUACUGUUGUCAAGAGUCCUGCAUUUCUAUCCUCUGUUUAUGCCAAGUGGGACGGAAUAAAAAAUAAACUCACAUUGUGAAGGGUAAAAAAAAAAAAAAAAAGACUCAAACAUGACUGAAAUUGUUUUGUUGCAUCUAAAACUUCCAUUCAUUGUGUUUUGCAUACUCGCAGCAGGGUAUUCUGUGAGUCCUUGCAGCAUGGAAAUGGCCUCUGGAAAUUCUGAAGUCUCUCAUCAUGACAAAAUAAUGGAUUAAAAUCAAUCUGUGGUACACUAUGAGGUAAACACACACUGUUCUGUGUUGAUUUUAUUGAAUUAUCUUUGAGACUAUUACUAAGAUGGCCAAAGUUGGCGUCUCUCAGCCCAGCAAUGUCAGACUAAAUCCUGUUUUUCUUACUGGUAAAAUUUUUGCACCAUGUAAACGUCACAGUGUCAUAGUGUCAUGAUGAUAUAGCUUGAGUUUGCCACCCAAUUUGGGAUGUACCAAUCCAUUUUUUCACAAAUAAUUCGAUCUCAAUUCCUGAAUUUGGAUAUCUGCUGAUAAUGACACUAUUCCGAUACCAGAGCUCUGUUAUCUUUACCAUCAUUAUUAUCAUUAUUGUUUAUUUUAUUUGAGACUGUAAUAAACUCCUCUCUACAGACUAGUAUAUGUACGUAUGAUUUCCUGAACCGAGUCAUGUCUCAUCUCUGUGUCUCAUUGAGACAAGCCUCCCUUCAGGAAAUCCAUUCUGCAGUUUGCAGCCAGCUAGCAGACUGACCGACAUUUCAGCAGACAAAGUUAAAGCAAAUACAUAACUUAGCAAAGACAUGACUUGUGGAUUGGAAAUUUCCAGUCCAUGAAUUACGUUGGUAUCAGAACCCAAUACCAAUGCUGGAUCGGACCAGCUCCAUCCCUUCACCCAACUAUACAUUAAAAUAGGCGGUCCUGUGGUGUCUAUGUUCUAUGUUCUAUACAAUGCCCCUAUCUAUCAAAGUCAUGCAAUCAUGGUCAUACUACAAUAUGCAUCAUUCUGCAGUAAUUAAUAAAAGUUGAUGUCGAGGUCACUCUUAUUUUGUUGGUGUUGGUUUCCGUUCUUCUUUCGCAAACACACUUGUUCGGGCCUCUUAUCCACAUGCAACUUUGAGUUUUGAAAGUCUCCAAACUGUAAACAAUGUGCACUCAGAGUUUUCUUUGCCUUAUUUGACAUAAUCAAAGUGAAAUGUAGUCACAGCAUGACGCCUGCUCUCAAAGUUGUUGAAUAAAGUUGGGCGCCCUGAGAAGAAAUGUCGUAGGUGUUGAGGAAAUCUGAGGAUGUGUUUUAUACAAAAUAAUCAGCCCAUCCUUGUAAGGUGAUUUCAGCAAGGUUGAGUGUUAGACUGAGCGAUAUAUAGCAUGGCACAAACUCCCCAAGAUAACUAAUGAGCAAUCACAGCAGCGCCUCUCAUCCCCUUUAAAAGCAGCAGACAGUUGCUAAUGAGCUGGUGGGGGGGGGAGAAGCUGCUACUGUGGGGGAAACGGUGUCUGAGAGGUACAAGAACACAGCACCCUAAAUGCUAAUAAACAGCACCCCAAAUACAAAUGGAUAAUGCUUGCAGUGGCCAAUAAUACCAAUUCUGAUGCUGAAUUCACUUCCAAAAAAUCCAGGUGCAAACAGUUUCAGCUGCCCUGGUAAGAAUCAGUGACACUUUAUCAUUAAUUUGAAUGAUAGACUCCACGUGCAGCGUGCACACCACCCUGUUUAGUUUCUUCCUUCACUCUAGAAACCAUGAUUGUAGCUCAUGCUGCAGAAUAAUAGCUAAUGCAUUAGAGAGCUGCAGAUUUAGGAGUCAGAGCAGCACACGGUGGCAUAAAACAGGACAGUAAGCGGUACACUGCAAAAACAGCACUACUAGAAAUAGGCAAAACAUUCUUAUAUUCAAUCAAAUAAUAAUAAUAAUAAUAAAUUUUAUUUAAAAGCGCCUUUCUGGACACCCAAGGACACUGUACAGGGCAUAAUCUUUUUCUAGCUUGACAAGAAUUCUCAAUAAGAACAAAUUUCUUGGCCCUGAGACUCAAAUGAAACUUAAAACUAGACAGAAAAUCUUAUAUUAAUCUAUUUUUUUCUACAGCAAGCAAUGAAAAAUGAAGAUAAAGUUACUUAAAACUAGAAUUUUAGUCUCUUGAAUAAAUAAACUUCAAGAAAAUACAUCUUAAUCUAGGAUUCUGAAUGAGCAUGACAGUGGUUCAAAUAAGACAUAAUUUCUUAAAACAGCAUAGCAAAUAUAAGUGAUGUUGUCUUAAAUUAAGAUACCAAAACAUUCUCAUUAACUAUAUAUUUUUUAUUCCACAAGCAAGCAUGUGGAAAGCAAGCAUGUUCUUUGUUGUUCUUUGUUGUUUUGCAGUAUUCAUCUGGUCAUUGUGUAAUUAGACUAGCCUACUGACAUCUUUAUAUGUCGGAUUAUGUCUGAGGCAGCAGAUUCUGUCAGGUUCAGAUGACCUGCAAUGGAAAUCUUAAUAAAACUAAAAUCAACUGUUCUUGUUUCAUGGCAUUCUUAAAUGGAAAAGUUGCACAUGUGUCUUACUUUUAAAAUGAAAGGAAUGAUCUUGUUGCUUUGCUGGAUUUUAUUGUAAAAGAUUUUUCUACUUUAUUUCUGGUUCAUUCUAUCUCAAAAAGGGCUGGAAUAUCUUAUCAAGAAAAAGUUAGCCAUUUUUUCUUAAAGUUAGAUAAUUCUUCUAAUGCUGAACAUGCUUGACAAGAUUAAUAUUCUUUUUGUACAAAAAAAAAUGACUUAUUUCCUUCAUACAAGGCUGUUUUCCCUUCUUGAAAUUCCAUUUUUUGCCGUGAACCUCUACUUCUUUAUUCACAUUACUGAGAUUUUGCAACAAUAACAGUUUCUAGCCGGAGCUGUCAAGGCGCAGUGUGGAAAAAUUUGCAGAAUUUGGGAGAAUAGACUUUGCAAAGAUGGAAUAAAUUAAAAGUUUGUCUGAAGUAGUACUUUUAUAAUCCAAAGGAGCAGGGCCCCAUCCACAGAUUCAUGUUUCUACAGGAGCUUUGAGCUGUCAAACUAGUGAUGUUUGCAUUUGUAUUAAGUGAUUGGACACCCAGAAUGCAUCAGAGAGUGGUUGCUGCAUGCACAGAUAUAUAGAAAAGACUAGAUACUCCAGUGAGCUGUAGCAGCCCGCUAAACGACAUAUCUACGUAGCAGCCAUCUUGGUGAGGGCAACUUUCCCAUUAAAGGUGAAAAUAAUUCAUAACUCGCUAAUUUCUCAACUGAUUUUCCAAGCAGUUUACUUUAUUUUCAAAUUUUGUGCUAUUAAUACAGAACAUUUGAUUAAACAGUUUUUUUAAAUCACAUGUUCCAUUUAAAUCAUUCGUUUUGGUGUUGGAAAUGAAGUAAACCGCACGAAAAUCAGUUGAGAAAUGAGCAAUUUAUGGUUUAUUUUCAAUGUACAUGCUUCUCCGUUAAUGGGAAAGAUGCCCCCGCUAGCUUAGCCUUGCUGAAGAGGCAUGUCGUAUCUAUGUUUUCAUAUCUAUGGUUGCAUGCACAAAAAUUGCACAUUCUCGGAUCAUAAUUGUUGUGUUUACAGGAGUCUUCAAGGUCAACCAUUGCUUAAAAGGGUGAGUAAGGGGGUAUCAUGAUAAUGACUCAAACCGCUUUAAAUCACUAACUAGCCCCAUUGCUACAAACUGUUCCUUUUAAGCUUAUAUUCACAAUGAACAUCAGUUACUCGUGGCUGUUUGUACUAUCGUAUUUCUCACUGAAUCAUUCAUUCGUAUUUGUGUGCCUUUUCAAAGCUCUCUGCAUGGAGCCAGGGAUGUGAAAAUACUGCAACAACACUUUGUUUUUGGCCCAAAAUAUGAGAUAAUGAGUUUUGAAAAUUUCCCUCUCAGAACCCUUGAGUCUUAACAAGCUCACCAUGAAUUUAUGUCACCGAGAUUUAUGGGACGGCUUCAAAAGGCGAGGGAAGGGGAGUUGAUUUAUUCAGCACAUUUCAACACAAAAGCAGCUAACCGAGCUUUACAUGAGACAAAAAAAAAAAAAGAUAUUAAAUAAAAGUACUUCAUAAAACAUUAAAAAGACAAAUUUAAGAGAAAGUUGGAACAUGAAAGCUCUGCAGAAUGUCUACGGAUGAAAUAUGAGCAGUGUGAGUUUGCAUACCCCUGUGACUGACCCUAUCUGCUGUCUCCUCAUCGGCGCUGUAACUGUGAUGGCUCCCACUGAGCAUUUUGGGAGAGAGAGGAAAAGUCUGAGUUCAUAUCCAGCAGCUGUCGGGCUGAAAUGAGCCACAUUUUCCAGCGCGGACCCGAGCAGUUCUGGGGUCAGUGGAGAUUCGGGGCUCGGCCUGGAAAUCUUUAAAUGAGUCUGGGGCCACGCUUUGAUCGAUGAAUAUCACAAUAUGAAUAAGAGCUAUAUUUGGGGAGGGGGGUGAGUCAGGCAGUCAGAAAGCUGGACAAAUACAGCACCACUGGGGCUGGAGACUUCAAUUCAGCAAUUCAGUCGCCACAUUUUUCACAGAAAAGAGGUCAACUGGUGCAUAUUGCCUCUCUGGAAGGAGCAAUAGGCAAUCAUAUGGUUGUAUAGGAAAACAUUAUGAGCCUACAUUCCCACAGAUUACUGCUGUAACAACAAUUUAAAGGUUGGAUGCAGCCAAAUUAUUUUGUGUUAUUUCAUGAAAAAACAAAAAAAAUCCCCAAUAUCAUCUAGAAUUUUAUUAUCUAGUAUUUGUUUUGACAAACAAAGUAAAAAGGAAAGACCGGCCGAGUCGUAGCGGAGCUCUCAUUGGUGUGGCGCAGUCCGAUGUGUUAAAGCCUGAUGUCUAAAAUCCUCACAAAGUUCUUCUAAAAUCCUCACAAACUUCUACAGGUGCACCAUUGAAAGCCUGCUGAUGGGCUGCAUCACAGCAUGGUAUAGGAACUGCUCCAGUCAGAACCAGAAAGCACUGCAGAGGGUAGUGCAUACGGCUGAGUUCAUCACAGGGACCCGGAUCCCCACCAUACAGGACAUUUACCUCAGCCGAUGCCUGCGUAAAGCCCGCAGCAUUAUCAAGGACAAAACCCACCCAGCACAAAGACUCUUCUGUCCACGACCGUCCGGCAGAAGGUACAGGAGUCUGAAGAACAGUUACUACCCACAUGCAGUUCGCUUACUAUACUCCUGACAGUACCAUCAGUAAAUACUCUGUGCAAUAACCUACUUAACUUUGCAAUAUCAUCUGUGCAAUACCAGCAAUACAGCAAUUUGUACACCAUUAUUUAUUAUGUGC
rnacentral:lncRNA from 1 species